rnacentral:rRNA from 1 species
GUGGGGAAUCUUGCGCAAUGGGCGAAAGCCUGACGCAGCCAUGCCGCGUGAAUGAUGAAGGUCUUAGGAUUGUAAAAUUCUUUCACCGGGGACGAUAAUGACGGUACCCGGAGAAGAAGCUCCGGCUAACUUCGUGCCAGCAGCCGCGGUAAUACGAAGGGGGCUAGCGUUGCUCGGAAUUACUGGGCGUAAAGGGCGCGUAGGCGGACAGCUUAGUCAGAGGUGAAAGCCCAGGGCUCAACCUUGGAAUUGCCUUUGAUACUGGCUGUCUUGAGUUUGGGAGAGGUGAGUGGAACUCCGAGUGUAGAGGUGAAAUUCGUAGAUAUUACGAAGAACUCCAGUGGCGAAGGCGACUUUCUGGACUGUACCUGACGCUGAGGCGCGAAAGCGUGGGGAGCGAACAGGAUUAGAAACCCCAGUAGUCC